CUGGGGAGUACGGCCGCAAGGUUAAAACUCAAAUGAAUUGACGGGGGCCCGCACAAGCGGUGGAGCAUGUGGUUUAAUUCGAUGCAACGCGAAGAACCUUACCUGGCCUUGACAUCCACGGAAUUCGGCAGAGAUGCCUUAGUGCCUUCGGGAACCGUGAGACAGGUGCUGCAUGGCUGUCGUCAGCUCGUGUUGUGAAAUGUUGGGUUAAGUCCCGCAACGAGCGCAACCCUUAUCCUUUGUUGCCAGCGAGUAAUGUCGGGAACUCAAAGGAGACUGCCGGUGAUAAACCGGAGGAAGGUGGGGAUGACGUCAAGUCAUCAUGGCCCUUACGGCCAGGGCUACACACGUGCUACAAUGGCGCAUACAAAGAGAAGCGACCUCGCGAGAGCAAGCGGACCUCAUAAAGUGCGUCGUAGUCCGGAUCGGAGUCUGCAACUCGACUCCGUGAAGUCGGAAUCGCUAGUAAUCGUAGAUCAGAAUGCUACGGUGAAUACGUUCCCGGGCCUUGUACACACCGCCCGUCACACCAUGGGAGUGGGUUGCAAAAGAAGUAGGUAGCUUAACCUUCGGGAGGGCGCUUACCACUUUGUGA
rnacentral:rRNA from 1 species